rnacentral:rRNA from 1 species
UACGUGGGGAGCAAGCGUUGUUCGGAUUUACUGGGCGUAAAGGGCGCGUAGGCGGCAUAUUAAGUCAUCUGUGAAAUCUCCGAGCUUAACUCGGAACUGUCAGCUGAUACUGAUGUGCUAGAGUGCGGAAGGGGCAAUCGGAAUUCUUGGUGUAGCGGUGAAAUGCGUAGAUAUCAAGAGGAACACCUGAGGUGAAGACGGGUUGCUGGACACAUAUUGACGCUGAGGUGCGAAAGCGUGGGGAGCAAACAGG